rnacentral:lncRNA from 1 species
CAUAUACUAACUUAAAAGUUCCUAAUUCAUAAUUUGUGACAUUGAGAAUGGCAGCAAGCAUUUGGUGGCUCUCCCAGGCAGCUCUGAAGAUGCAGCUAGAACAAGGACUAGAAAUCACAGACCGAUCUCUCAGGGAAGUCUCCUUCCCAGGCUGCUUCCCAGGCUCACCCAACCAGCAAGUCCAUUUGAAGCUGGAAGAUUCUGUGUCCAUUUGGGAGGUAGUCAACUAUGAAUUCCUCUCUCCACUUUGGCUGCUAUUGUCAGGGAGAAGCAGGAUGAAGAGGAGGCAGUUUGUCUGGACUGAGAUCCACGAACCCUGGGAAUCUGGAGGCAGAGGGUAUUGUUGAGAUGACCAGAAAGCAGCCAGUUGGCCCACAUCUAUUUCAUCAAGUCCUCAGCCCAGUGGAGGUUUGUGCUGCCCUCAGACACCAGUGACCUGGGAUUUCUGCAGUCAAGAGGGAGCUAAUAAUGGUGCCAGGGUCACUUGGGGGAAGAAGCAAGAGCAGGACUUAAGAUCUUUCCCCCAGUCUGAGCUCUUCAUGCCACCGCCAGCUGCUUCUGCCCCGGCUGGAAUCACCAACAUCCCACAGCCCCUCCUGGGCAGCUUCAGUUAGGAUGUCUAACUUCAGUUCCUGUUUUCGUUUGUUUGUGGA